AACUCUUGGCAACAGAUAUCUAGGCUCUCGCCAUGAUGAAGAAUGUAGCAAAAUGCAAUACUUAGCAUGAAUUGCAAAAUCUCAUGAAUCAUCGAGUCUUUGAAUGCAAGUUGUACCUGAGGCCUUGGUCGAGGGCAUGUUUUCUUGAGCAAUG